rnacentral:rRNA from 1 species
AGUGAACGCUGGCGGUAGGCCUAACACAUGCAAGUCGAACGGCAGCACAGUAAGAGUUUGCUCUUACGGGUGGCGAGUGGCGGACGGGUGAGGAAUACAUCGGAAUCUACUUUUUCGUGGGGGAUAACGUAGGGAAACUUACGCUAAUACCGCAUACGACCUACGGGUGAAAGCAGGGGAUCUUCGGACCUUGCGCGAUUGAAUGAGCCGAUGUCGGAUUAGCUAGUUGGCGGGGUAAAGGCCCACCAAGGCGACGAUCCGUAGCUGGUCUGAGAGGAUGAUCAGCCACACUGGAACUGAGACACGGCCCAGACUCCGACGGGAGGCAGCAGUGGGGAAUAUUGGGCAAGGGGCGCAAGCCUGAUCCAGGCAUACCGCGUGGGUGAUGAAGGCCUUCGGGUGGGAAAGCGCUGUUGUUGGGAAAGAAAAACAGCAGGUUAAUACCCCGCUGUUCUGACGGUACCCAAAGAAUAAGCACCGGCUAACUUCGUG